rnacentral:tRNA from 2 species
GCGCUCGUAGCUCAGCUGGAUAGAGUGUUGGCCUCCGAAGCCAAAUGUCGGGUGUUCAAAUCACCUCGAGCGCA